GACGAACGCUGGCGGCGUGCUUAACACAUGCAAGUCGAACGGUAAGGCCCUUCGGGGUACACGAGUGGCGAACGGGUGAGUAACACGUGGGUGAUCUGCCCUGCACUUCGGGAUAAGCCUGGGAAACUGGGUCUAAUACCGGAUCGGACCACUUCCUGCAUGGGUGGUGGUGGACAGCUUUUGCGGUGUGGGAUGGGCCCGCGGCCUAUCCGCUUGUUGGUGGGGUGAUGGCCUACCAAGGCGACGACGGGUAGCCGGCCUGGGAGGGUGACCGGCCACACUGGGACUGAGAUACGGCCCAGACUCCUACGGGAGGCAGCAGUGGGGAAUAUUGCACAAUGGGCGCAAGCCUGAUGCAGCGACGCCGCGUGAGGGAUGACGGCCUUCGGGUUGUAAACCUCUUUCAGCACCGACGAAGCGCAAGUGACGGUAGGUGCAGAAGAAGGACCGGCCAACUACGUGCCAGCCGCCGCGGUAA
rnacentral:rRNA from 1 species